rnacentral:RNase_P_RNA from 1 species
UUGGAGAGUGACCGGUCGCUCCCGCGAUGCGGGAGAGGAAAGUCCGGACUCCAAAGGGCGAGAGGUCCGGUUGUUAAAGCCGGAGAGGCACCGCCAGACCGGUGUCGACGGAAAGUGCCACAGAAAACAGACCGCCCUUGCGCGCAAGCGCGGGGGUAAGGGUGAAAAGGUGGUGUAAGAGACCACCGGGCGUUCGCGGAAGCGGCGCCGUCCGGGCAAACCCCCUCUGGAGCAAGAUCAAAUAGGGAGCACGAGACGCGGCCCGUGUCGAGUGUGCCGGAAGCGGCGCGCGGAUGCUCCGGGUAGAUCGCUCAGAUGAAUGAUCGGAGCCUUCCUCUGGAAGGUGAACAGAAUCCGGCUUAUUCGCCUCCAUGCCC